UUUUUUCAUUUGUCGAGUAUCCUACCGGGCUUUUCGCAAAUGAAUCAUUAACUUUUAAGGAGUGCAUAGUGGCCCGUAUCGCUGGCAUUAACGUUCCUGAU
rfam:Psychromonas ingrahamii 37, complete genome.